GGGGGCACAGCUCAGUGGUAGAGCACGUGCUUAGCAUGCAUGGGGUCCUGGGUUCAAUCCGCAGUCCCUCCA
rnacentral:tRNA from 1 species